CGAGCUGCGAAGCAAGCAUGUCCUUCAAGGAGGAGGAGGGCUCAGCAACUUGGGUGUGCUCCAAUUCUUCACAAGUCUUCAGGACCUGCGCCUUGGAUCCUGCUACAUCCGCACGAUGAAACAGAUUGAGGAUUACAGGCAUAAAAGGCAAAGGUGGAUCAAAGUGGUCAAGUUUUAUAAGGAGAACAAGAAAACAAUCGCCACUGUACUAUCCGGCAGUGCUGCACUUGCCAGUAUCUUAGGGACGAUCUUGUCUCUGAAAAAAUAGCAGUUGUAAUGCAGUUUGAUGUAUCUUUGUUAUUUAAUUUUCAUUGUAUCUAAAUUCCAUUUGUAAUAAAAUGUGGAUCCCAUUUGCAGUUUUUGCAUUCCACUAGACUAUACUAGUUUAAAUUUGUGCUACCGCUUUGCUAUUGCAUUCUACCAAAUACGAAUGCAUUCUUUUUCUUCAAGACCUGACCUACCCAUGCACUAUCUAACAACAUCAAUUUGGUGCGAAUAGUAACGAGUAGAUAGUGUAUAUAUAAUCUGCAAAUUGUAACGAGUUAGUGGGUUGGUCAAACCAAAUCAAUAUCAUUCGUUAAAAGCUCAGACCACCAAAAACUUCAGCUACUAGUGCAGCCAACGUUGUACUAUCUCAGAAAAGUACCCAAAACAUAGCAUUACAAGCUGCAGCUGAACUUUCACAACAUCAUGCGCUCGGAUCUUUGCAACGGGGCUAAGAAAAAGCGUGCUUAAUCAAAUUCCAUCCCAGAUCCGUAUCCCUCGCGUCCGAUUGGGUACUGGGAGACGUACCGAGUUGCCGAGUCGCGGAACCAGGGAGGGCAGGGUCGAUGGGACGGGUGGACGGCCGGACCCGGACGGGGCGUCCGCGACAGCCGGACGGUGAGCCGGGCGACGACGUGGCCGUGACCUAUUGCCGCUGGCGAGGGGAGCCAGCGGCCGCGUCUGGCUAUGCGAGGCGCGGAGCGGUGGCGGCUCCCGGAGGCGGACUGCGGUGGCCGCCAGUCUCGGGCGCAGUCGGGGGAGUUCCCCGAUUCGAUCAAUCCCCUGUCCGCCAGUCUCUGUGUGUGUGUUUUCUCUCGUCGUUUUUCGUUGGCCUCGUGGCAUGGGCCAGGAGGUGUGCACUGGGCUGAGGCCGUGGCCU
rnacentral:lncRNA from 1 species